AGAGUUUGAUCAUGGCUCAGGACGAACGCUGGCGGCGCGCUUAACACAUGCAAGUCGAGCGAGAACCAUGCCUUCGGGCAUGGGGACAGCGGCGAACGGGUGAGUAACACGUGGGUAAUCUGCCCUUGACAUCGGGAUAGCCCGGGGAAACCCGGAUUAAUACCGAAUAGCCUCCGAAGCCCUCGGGCGUCGGAGAAAAGGUAGCUUCGGCCUCUGGUCAAGGAUGAGCCCGCGGCGGAUUAGCUUGUUGGCGGGGUAACGGCCCACCAAGGCGACGAUCCGUAGCUGGUCUGAGAGGACGAUCAGCCACACUGGGACUGAGACACGGCCCAGACUCCUACGGGAGGCAGCAGUGGGGAAUCUUGCGCGAAUGCGGGAAACCGUGACGCAGCGACGCCGCGUGGGGGAAGAAGGCCUUCGGGUUGUAAACCUCUUUCAGGAGGGACGAAGCUACUCGGGUUAAUAGCCCAGAGGGUGACGGUACCUCCAGAAGAAGCCCCGGCUAACUACGUGCCAGCCGCCGCGGUAAUAC
rnacentral:rRNA from 1 species